GGGUUGUGAGGUUAAGCGACUAAGCGUACACGGUGGAUGCCCUGGCAGUCAGAGGCGAUGAAGGACGUGCUAAUCUGCGAUAAGCGUCGGUAAGGUGAUAUGAACCGUUAUAACCGGCGAUUUCCGAAUGGGGAAACCCAGUGUGAUUCGUCACACUAUCAUUAACUGAAUCCAUAGGUUAAUGAGGCGAACCGGGGGAACUGAAACAUCUAAGUACCCCGAGGAAAAGAAAUCAACCGAGAUUCCCCCAGUAGCGGCGAGCGAACGGGGAGCAGCCCAGAGCCUGAAUCAGUGUGUGUGUUAGUGGAAGCGUCUGGAAAGGCGCGCGAUACAGGGUGACAGCCCCGUACACAAAAAUGCACAUACUGUGAGCUCGAUGAGUAGGGCGGGACACGUGGUAUCCUGUCUGAAUAUGGGGGGACCAUCCUCCAAGGCUAAAUACUCCUGACUGACCGAUAGUGAACCAGUACCGUGAGGGAAAGGCGAAAAGAACCCCGGCGAGGGGAGUGAAAAAGAACCUGAAACCGUGUACGUACAAGCAGUGGGAGCACGCUUAGGCGUGUGACUGCGUACCUUUUGUAUAAUGGGUCAGCGACUUAUAUUCUGUAGCAAGGUUAACCGAAUAGGGGAGCCGAAGGGAAACCGAGUCUUAACUGGGCGUUAAGUUGCAGGGUAUAGACCCGAAACCCGGUGAUCUAGCCAUGGGCAGGUUGAAGGUUGGGUAACACUAACUGGAGGACCGAACCGACUAAUGUUGAAAAAUUAGCGGAUGACUUGUGGCUGGGGGUGAAAGGCCAAUCAAACCGGGAGAUAGCUGGUUCUCCCCGAAAGCUAUUUAGGUAGCGCCUCGUGAACUCAUCUCCGGGGGUAGAGCACUGUUUCGGCAAGGGGGUCAUCCCGACUUACCAACCCGAUGCAAACUGCGAAUACCGGAGAAUGUUAUCACGGGAGACACACGGCGGGUGCUAACGUCCGUCGUGAAGAGGGAAACAACCCAGACCGCCAGCUAAGGUCCCAAAGUCAUGGUUAAGUGGGAAACGAUGUGGGAAGGCCCAGACAGCCAGGAUGUUGGCUUAGAAGCAGCCAUCAUUUAAAGAAAGCGUAAUAGCUCACUGGUCGAGUCGGCCUGCGCGGAAGAUGUAACGGGGCUAAACCAUGCACCGAAGCUGCGGCAGCGACGCUUAUGCGUUGUUGGGUAGGGGAGCGUUCUGUAAGCCUGCGAAGGUGUGCUGUGAGGCAUGCUGGAGGUAUCAGAAGUGCGAAUGCUGACAUAAGUAACGAUAAAGCGGGUGAAAAGCCCGCUCGCCGGAAGACCAAGGGUUCCUGUCCAACGUUAAUCGGGGCAGGGUGAGUCGACCCCUAAGGCGAGGCCGAAAGGCGUAGUCGAUGGGAAACAGGUUAAUAUUCCUGUACUUGGUGUUACUGCGAAGGGGGGACGGAGAAGGCUAUGUUGGCCGGGCGACGGUUGUCCCGGUUUAAGCGUGUAGGCUGGUUUUCCAGGCAAAUCCGGAAAAUCAAGGCUGAGGCGUGAUGACGAGGCACUACGGUGCUGAAGCAACAAAUGCCCUGCUUCCAGGAAAAGCCUCUAAGCAUCAGGUAACAUCAAAUCGUACCCCAAACCGACACAGGUGGUCAGGUAGAGAAUACCAAGGCGCUUGAGAGAACUCGGGUGAAGGAACUAGGCAAAAUGGUGCCGUAACUUCGGGAGAAGGCACGCUGAUA
rnacentral:rRNA from 1 species